GACGAACGCUGGCGGCGUGCUUAACACAUGCAGGUCGAACGAUGAACCCGGAGCUUGCUCCGGCGGAUUAGUGGCGAACGGGUGAGUAACACGUGAGUAACCUGCCCUUGACUCUGGGAUAACUGCGGGAAACUGUAGCUAAUACCGGAUACGACCCUCGGCGGCAUCGCCAGGGGGUGGAAAGAAUUUCGGUCAAGGAUGGACUCGCGGCCUAUCAGCUAGUUGGUGAGGUAACGGCUCACCAAGGCGACGACGGGUAGCCGGCCUGAGAGGGUGACCGGCCACACUGGGACUGAGACACGGCCCAGACUCCUACGGGAGGCAGCAGUGGGGAAUAAUGCACAAUGGGCGAAAGCCUGAUGCAGCGACGCCGCGUGAGGGAUGAAGGUCUUCGGAUUGUAAACCUCUUUCAGUAGGGACGAAGCGAAAGUGACGGUACCUAAAGAAGAAGCACCGGCUAACUACGUGCCAGCAGCCGCCGUAG
rnacentral:rRNA from 1 species